AUGGCGGCCACCUCCGUCGGCGGCGAGUGGGAGAUCGAAUACGAUGAAGGCUUCGUCUUCAAGCGCCCCCGCGUCCUCUAUCCGGAUGGCGCCGAAGAUACCGGCACGGCGGCGCCCUCUACACCGGCCCCGGACCUCGAGUCCGCCCGCCUCCAGCGCCGCCGCCGCGCGCUCCUCCACCUCCGCGCCAAGUACCAGCCGGAGCUCUCCCGCUGGGAGUCCCUCUCCUCCGACAUCCUUGCUCCGCCCCCCGCCCCCACCGCAGCCACUUCUGGAGCUUCGUCCGCUUCCCCUCUUCCCCUCACCCCCUCGACCGCCACAAUCUCCUCGGACCACACCAUCCUCGAUGACUGUCUCGCGGAGGUGGAGGCGCAGGAGGAAAUGCUCAAAAAAGCAUCGGAGAUGUGUGACCAGAUUGUCGAGUUUUGCAAUGAGUACGAGGCAGCCGUCGUGGAUGCCGUUGCCGCGCUGCCGGCAUGGGGGGAUCCACGGGACCUUGUGAACUCCCUGUGCAGUCAAGAUGAGCAGGCUGCCGGGCAGCCUGUCCCUGGUAUUAAUUAG
rnacentral:rRNA from 1 species